AAAUUGAAGAGUUUGAUCAUGGCUCAGAUUGAACGCUGGCGGCAGGCCUAACACAUGCAAGUCGAACGGUAACAGGAAACAGCUUGCUGUUUCGCUGACGAGUGGCGGACGGGUGAGUAAUGUCUGGGAAACUGCCUGAUGGAGGGGGAUAACUACUGGAAACGGUAGCUAAUACCGCAUAACGUCGCAAGACUAAAGAGGGGGACCUUCGGGCCUCUUGCCAUCGGAUGUGCCCAGAUGGGAUUAGCUUGUUGGUGGGGUAACGGCUCACC
rnacentral:rRNA from 1 species